rnacentral:misc_RNA from 1 species
GAUGAAGAACGUAGCGAAAUGCGAUAAGUAAUGUGAAUUGCAGAAUUCAGUGAAUCAUCGAAUCUUUGAACGCACAUUGCGCCCGCCAGUAUUCUGGCGGGCAUGCCUGUUCGAGCGUCAUUUCAACCAUCUAGCCCCCGGCUUGUGUUGGGGACCUGCGGCUGCCGCAGGCCCUGAAAACCAGUGGCGGGCUCGCUAGUCACUCCGAGCGUAGUAAUACAUCUCGCUCAGGGCGUGCUGCGGGUUCCGGCCGUUAAAAAGCCUUAUUUACCCAAGGUUGACCUCGGAUCAGGUAGGAAGACCCGCUGAACUUAAGCAUAUCAAUAAGCGGAGGA